rnacentral:piRNA from 1 species
UGAAACUGUAAGUGAAGAAAUUAAAGUUU